rnacentral:rRNA from 1 species
UACGGGGGGAGCAAGCGUUGUUCGGAAUUACUGGGCGUAAAGGGCGCGUAGGCGGCCGAUCAAGUCAGAUGUGAAAGUCCUGGGCUUAACCUGGGAACUGCAUUCGAGACUGCAUUGCUAGAGUAUGGGAGAGGGAAGUGGAAUUUCCGGUGUAGCGGUGAAAUGCGUAGAUAUCGGAAGGAACAUCAGUGGCGAAAGCGACUUCCUGGACCAAUACUGACGCUCAUGUGCGAAAGCGUGGGGAGCAAACAGG